rnacentral:lncRNA from 1 species
CUCUGCUUUGCCUUGUCUUCCCGAGUAGCUGCUCCAUUCCCGGCAUAGAGGAUCAGGAGAGGGGACGCCACCUGCCACACGCUGGAUGCUGGGGUCCGCACGACUGCGGCUUGUGUCGCUGUGGUUGGUGGUGGUGAUGGAAACUGCAGCGUGGCUGGAGUGGUUUAAUAGAGUUCCCUGGCCCCUUCUAUGUUGAGACAUGGUGAAAAGGCAGCCUCUAUCAACCAGAAAGCAGACUCUUUUCAGCCAGUAAGUUUUCUGACACCUUGAUCUUGGACUUCCCAACUGUGAGAAAUAA